rnacentral:lncRNA from 1 species
AAACGUCCUCCUUUUUCAGAACAACGAAGUCUUUUACAAAAACAAAUACAUAAUGUAAAAACACUACUAAAAUAGGACCCAUAACUACCCAUGUUCUGCAUAAAGCAUUUACUCCACUACCUAUAAACUAGGACAACUAACACACAAAUUAGCUAACCGUGACUCCAUUAACUCCUAAAGACUAGAAUAACUGAAAAUCCAAAUCAGCAAAACGUGCAGAAAAAAAACAAUUAUUAUUUCAACAAUCCCUCCCUUAAACUGAUGUUUACUAACAUUCAGUUUAAAGUCUUAACUGUUUUCAACGUGCAAAUACCUAGUAACCUUCUAAACUUCACAAAUGACUCCAUCUUGAGGGUCUUGGUGAAUAUAUCAACAACCUGAUCUUUACUCCUGCAGUAGAUUAGAUCAAAUGUUCCAUCAUUGCUAAGAUCUCUCAAGAAAUAAAACUUCACAUCAAUGUGUUUGCUUCUUCCAUGUAGCAUAGGAUUCUUGGAGAGUUUGAUUUCUGAGUUGUUCUCACAAAAAUUUUUAGUAACUCUUGAUUACUUGAAUUGCAGCUCCUCAAGAAUUCUCCUUAGCCAAAUAACUUGAUAAGCACUAGCUGGUUGCUUUUUGGAUGAACACGAAAUAGCACAUGUCCCAAAUCAGCAAAACGUGCAGAAAAAAAAACAAUUAUUAUUUCAACAAUCCCUCCCUUAAACUGAUGUUUACUAACAUUCAGUUUAAAGUCUUAACUGUUUUCAACGUGCAAACACCUAGUAACCUUCUAAACUUCACAAAUGACUCCAUCUUGAGGGUCUUGGUGAAUAUAUCAACAACCUGAUCUUUACUCCUGCAGUAGAUUAAAUCAAAUGUUCCAUCAUUGCUAAGAUCUCUCAAGAAAUAAAACUUCAC